AUAAAUAUGGGAUGCAGUGUAUGGAACAUCAAUAAUCUAGUAUGAAAAAUUAACGAUUUAAGUCCUUCUUAAAUGAGGCCAUUUACCCAUAGAGGGUGCCAGGCCCGUAUAACGUUAAUGAUUAUUAGAGGAUGUUUCCAAAGAGUCGUGUUGCUUGAUAGUGCAGCACUAAGUGGGUGGUAAACUCCAUCUAAAACUAAAUAUAACCAUGAGACCGAUAGUAAACAAGUACCGUGAGGGAAAGUUGAAAAGAACUCUGAAUAGAGAGUUAAAUAGUACGUGAAACUGCUUAGAGGUUAAACCCGAUGAACCUGAAUAUCCAUUAUGGAAAAUUCAAUACUAAUAAAAUAGUGUGCAAUUUUUCCAUAUAAGGACAUUGUAAUCUGUUAAUGUCAUAAAUAUUUAUCAAAAGAUUUAAUAAUUAAAGUUUAUUUAAAUUCAACAUAAAAUAAAUAUAUUAAAUUGGAUAAAUCAUUGACAGAUAUAAUUAUAUAAUAUGCUUAAAUUCUUAUGAAUUUAGCAAUAUUGCUUGCAUUUUUAUAUUAUGAUUAACAAUGCGAUAGAUUCAGGAUACCUUCGGGACCCGUCUUGAAACACGGACCAAGGAGUCUAACAUAUGUGCAAGUCAUUGGGUAUUUUUAAUAAAACCCAAUGGCAUAAUUAACUUAACUUUUGGGAUUAAUUUAUAUUUAUUCAAUCCCGGGGCGUUCUAUAUAGUUAUGUAUAAUAAUAUUUAUAUUAUUUAUACCUCUAACUAGAGCGUACCUUGAGCAUAUAUGCUGUGACCCGAAAGAUGGUGAACUAUACUUGAUCAGGUUGAAGUCAGGGGAAACCCUGAUGGAAGACCGAAACAGUUCUGACGUGCAAAUCGAUUGUCAGAAUUGAGUAUAGGGGCGAAAGACUAAUCGAACCAU
rnacentral:rRNA from 1 species